rnacentral:tRNA from 1 species
GCAGUGGUGGUUCAGUGGUAGAAUUCUCUCUUUCCAUACGGGACACCCAGGUUCGAUUCCCAGCUAAUGCA